rnacentral:rRNA from 1 species
GAGAGGGUGAUCGGCCACACUGGGACUGAGACACGGCCCAGACUCCUACGGGAGGCAGCAGUGGGGAAUAUUGCACAAUGGGCGAAAGCCUGAUGCAGCGACGCCGCGUGGGGGAUGACGGCCUUCGGGUUGUAAACCUCUUUCAGUAGGGACGAAGCGCAAGUGACGGUACCUGCAGAAGAAGCGCCGGCCAACUACGUGCCAGCAGCCGCGGUAAUACGUAGGGUGCGAGCGUUGUCCGGAAUUACUGGGCGUAAAGAGCUCGUAGGCGGUUUGUCGCGUCGUCCGUGAAAACUCGGAGCUUAACUCCGAGCUUGCGGGCGAUACGGGCAGACUUGAGUACGACAGGGGAGACUGGAAUUCCUGGUGUAGCGGUGAAAUGCGCAGAUAUCAGGAGGAACACCGGUGGCGAAGGCGGGUCUCUGGGUAGUAACUGACGCUGAGGAGCGAAAGCAUGGGGAGCGAACAGGAUUAGAUACCCUGGUAGUCCAUGCCGUAAACGUUGGGCGCUAGGUGUGGGGGCCUUCCACGGAUUCCG